rnacentral:misc_RNA from 1 species
GAUGAAGAACGCAGUGAAAUGCGAUAAGUAAUGUGAAUUGCAGAAUUCAGUGAAUCAUCGAAUCUUUGAACGCACAUUGCGCCCGCCAGUAUUCUGGCGGGCAUGCCUGUUCGAGCGUCAUUUCAACCAUCAAGCCCCCGGCUUGUGUUGGGGACCUGCGGCUGCCGCAGGCCCUGAAAAGCAGUGGCGGGCUCGCUGUCACACCGAGCGUAGUAGCAUACAUCUCGCUCUGGGCGUGCUGCGGGUUCCGGCCGUUAAACCACCUUCAUAACCCAAGGUUGACCUCGGAUCAGGUAGGAAGACCCGCUGAACUUAAGCAUAUCAAUAAGGGAGGA